UUGGGGAGUAGCCUGCUUUCAGCACCUGGAAGCGCCUGCGUCAACACACUUGAGCCGUCUGGCUCAUGGCGCCGGCAGCCGAGCCCGGUUGGCGAGACCAACGAUGCGCCUGCACGACGAUGGGUCGGGCAGUGCUGGCGCGUCGUUGU
rnacentral:sRNA from 1 species